CAGCAGCCGCGGUAAUACGAAGGGGGCUAGCGUUGUUCGGAUUUACUGGGCGUAAAGGGCGCGUAGGCGGACUGAUAAGUCAGGGGUGAAAUCCCAAGGCUCAACCUUGGAACUGCCUUUGAUACUGUUUGCCUUGAGUUCGAGAGAGGUAAGUGGAACUGCGAGUGUAGAGGUGAAAUUCGUAGAUAUUCGCAAGAACACCAGUGGCGAAGGCGGCUUACUGGCUCGAAACUGACGCUGAGGCGCGAAAGCGUGGGGAGCAAACAGGAUUAGAUACCCCGGUAGUCCCUGUCUCUUAUAC
rnacentral:rRNA from 1 species